GAUGAACGCUGGCGGCGUGCUUAACACAUGCAAGUCGAACGGAAAGGCCCAAGCUUGCUUGGGUACUCGAGUGGCGAACGGGUGAGUAACACGUGGGUGAUCUGCCCUGCACUUCGGGAUAAGCCUGGGAAACUGGGUCUAAUACCGGAUAGGACCACAUUUUGGAUGGUGUGGUGGAAAGUUUUUCGGUGUGGGAUGAGCUCGCGGCCUAUCAGCUUGUUGGUGGGGUAAUGGCCUACCAAGGCGUGGGCGGGUAGCCGGCCUGAGGGGGUGUACGGCCACAUAGAGACCGAGAUGCGGCAGAAGCUGCUACGGGAGGGAGAAGGGAGAAAGAUUGAACGAUGGACGCAAGAUGGAUGCAGCGGCGCGGCGUAGGGGAUGACGGCCUUAGGGUUGAAAAAUACUUUCGCAAGGAACGAAGCGUUAUGUGACGGUACCUGGAGAAGAAGCAACGGCUAACUACGUG
rnacentral:rRNA from 1 species